UUACCUGCGGAGGGAUCAUU
rnacentral:rRNA from 1 species